ensembl:misc_RNA Metazoa_SRP Metazoan signal recognition particle RNA
GCAGGGUGUGGUGGCGCAUGCCUGUAGUCCCAGCUACUCAGGAGGCUGAGGCAGGAGAAUCGCUUGAACCCAGGAGGCAGAGGUUGCGGUGAGCUGAGAUCGUGCCACUGCACUUCAGCCCGGGGGACAGAACGAGACUCUGUUUAAAAAAAAAAAAAAAAAAAAAAUUCAGUCUAGUGUCAAUUAGAUGUACAUUGCUGAGGUAUUUUAUCUAUUGCAGAUUUUUUUCCCCUUUUGAUUGCAUCAGGCAUAUUGCCCUGUAAAUUGUGGUAGUGAUACCAGGAAUAAAAUAUUAAAUAAUUUUAUUGGAAGCAGAGGACUGCCAAGUUGACUGAGGAGGGGUAAACUGGCCCAGGUUGGAAACAGAGCAGGUCAAAAUUCUCAUGCUGAUUAGUAGUGAGUCACACCUGUGAGUAGCCACUGCACUUUAUCCUGGGCAGCAAGACCCUGUCUCUA